rnacentral:tRNA from 1 species
AAAAAUUUAGUUAAUUUAUAACGUUAGUUUGUCAAACUAAAGUAAUUAUUUAUAAUAAUUUUUG